rnacentral:rRNA from 1 species
UCAGAAUCAACGCUGGCGGCGUGCCUAACACAUGCAAGUCGAACGCGAAAGUCCGCAAGGGAGUCAGUAGAGUGGCAAACGGGUGAGUAACACGUGGGUGACCUGCCCUCGAGCGGGGGAGUAACGUCCCCGAAAGGGACGGCUAAUACCGCAUGACAUCCUGCCUUUGAACAGGUGGAGAUCAAAGCCGGGGAUCGCAAGACCUGGCACUCGAGGAGGGGCCCGCGCCUGAUUAGCUAGUUGGUGAGGUAACGGCUCACCAAGGCUUCGAUCAGUAUCCGGCCUGAGAGGGCGGACGGACACACUGGGACUGAGACACGGCCCAGACUCCUACGGGAGGCAGCAGUGGGGAAUUGUUCGCAAUGGGCGCAAGCCUGACGACGCAACGCCGCGUGGAGGAUGAAGACCUUCGGGUCGUAAACUCCUUUCGAUCGAGACGAAUGGCCUCUGGGUGAAUAAUCCGGAGGAGUGACGGCACCGAGAGAAGAAGCCCCGGCUAACUCCGUG